CCUUCGGGUGCGAGUAAAGUGGCGGACGGGUGAGUAACGCGUGGGAAUCUGCCUAGUAUGGGGGACAACAAUCGGAAACGGUUGCUAAUACCGCAUACGCCCUACGGGGGAAAGGCUUCGGCCGCUAUUAGAUGAGCCCGCGUAAGAUUAGCUUGUUGGUGGGGUAAUGGCCUACCAAGGCGACGAUCUUUAGCUGGUCUGAGAGGACGAUCAGCCACACUGGGACUGAGACACGGCCCAG
rnacentral:rRNA from 1 species